rnacentral:rRNA from 1 species
ACAUGCAGUCGAGCGCACCUUCGGGUGAGCGGCGGACGGGUUAGUAACGCGUGGGAAUAUGCCCAAAGGUACGGAAUAGCCUCUGGAAACGGGGAGUAAUACCGUAUGUGCCCUUCGGGGGAAAGAUUUAUCGCCUUUGGAUUAGCCCGCGUAAGAUUAGAUAGUUGGUGGGGUAAUGGCCUACCAAGUCUACGAUCUUUAGCUGGUUUGAGAGGAUGAUCAGCAACACUGGGACUGAGACACGGCCCAGACUCCUACGGGAGGCAGCAGUGGGGAAUCUUAGACAAUGGGCGCAAGCCUGAUCUAGCCAUGCCGCGUGAGUGACGAAGGCCUUAGGGUCGUAAAGCUCUUUCGCCAGAGAUGAUAAUGACAGUAUCUGGUAAAGAAACCCCGGCUAACUCCGUGCCAGCAGCCGCGGUAAUACGGAGGGGGUUAGCGUUGUUCGGAAUUACUGGGCGUAAAGCGUACGUAGGCGGAUUAAUCAGUCAGAGGUGAAAUCCCAGGGCUCAACCCUGGAACUGCCUUUGAUACUGUUAGUCUUGAGUUCGAGAGAGGUGAGUGGAAUUCCAAGUGUAGAGGUGAAAUUCGUAGAUAUUUGGAGGAACACCAGUGGCGAAGGCGGCUCACUGGCUCGAUACUGACGCUGAGG